rnacentral:rRNA from 1 species
GUCUAUGGCCAUGCCACCCUGAACAAGCCCAAUGUCUGAUCUCGGAAGCUAAGGAGGGUCAGGCCUGGUUAGUACUUGGAUGGGAGACUACCUAGGAAGACCAGGUACUGUAAGCA